GAAACCGAAGCUAAUACCGGAUAGGAUCUUCUCCUUCAUGGGAGAUGAUUGAAAGAUGGUUUCGGCUAUCACUUACAGAUGGGCCCGCGGUGCAUUAGCUAGUUGGUGAGGUAACGGCUCACCAAGGCAACGAUGCAUAGCCGACCUGAGAGGGUGAUCGGCCACACUGGGACUGAGACACGGCCCAGACUCCUACGGGAGGCAGCAGUAGGGAAUCUUCCGCAAUGGACGAAAGUCUGACGGAGCAACGCCGCGUGAGUGAUGAAGGCUUUCGGGUCGUAAAACUCUGUUGUUAGGGAAGAACAAGUACGAGAGUAACUGCUCGUACCUUGACGGUACCUAACCAGAAAGCCACGGCUAACUACGUGCCAGCAGCCGCGGUAAUACGUAGGUGGCAAGCGUUAUCCGGAAUUAUUGGGCGUAAAGCGCGCGCAGGCGGU
rnacentral:rRNA from 2 species